CUACUACUCCCUCCGUCCGAAAAUACUUGUCAUUGAAAUGGGUGUAUCUAGAUGUAUUUUAGUUCUAGACACAUCCAUUUUGAUGACAAGUAAUUCCGGACGGAGGUAGUAUUAU
rnacentral:pre_miRNA from 1 species